UUUCUUUUUUUUUUCUUUUAGUGAAACAGUGAAUUCUCUCCUUAAACACGAAAUUUUACGACGACAUGACAUCGUCUUUAGGAAUCGGUGUUGAAUUAUCCAUGUGAUCAUGUGAAUUUCAAAUGAUUACGAGUUAUACAUGGAUCAAAAAUGUUUUUAGAACAAGAAGAAUAUUUUCGAAGGGAUAACUCAUGCUCUGGAAUGUUUAUUAAUCUUAUUGGAAAAACAACGAAAAUCUCUCUAACAAAAAUUGAAUCAAUUUAAAAAAAAAAAAAACUUUUCUUGGAGAAAGGAUUGUUAAAAUUUUUGAAGAUUAAAACGAUGAUGGACGACGAGGCGUCUAUUUUCUGGGCAUCUAUCUUGAUGGUCUGUGGUACUGUGAUGAUGGUAAUAUUACUCACAUGCUAUAUUUGUCUCUUUCGAGAUUUGUGUUGUCCAGCCGGGGUUAGCACUACAAGAAAACGAACGAUUCGUCGUAAUAAUAUGAGAGUUGCUGAAGGAAACAAUCUGCAAAAAUUCGACGAAAUACCUAUGAACGAAAUAACUCAAGGUGAUAGCAGCAUGCCAACGGAAUCCGAAAAAUUUUAAAAACGGGAUCUAUAAACUUUAAUACGUUCUUUGUCAAUUACUCGUAAUUGUUAACUUAUUGUUCAUCGACGAAGUUGAUUUUGUAUCGCUUUUAGCGGAAGAAAGGAAAAAUGAGAUAAAGAAGAAAAACAACAACAAAAUAUUCGAAGAAGUAAAAGAAACAAUAUGAACAUGAUUAAAAAUAAAAAAAACAGCCAUCAUCCUUCAAAAUUAUUAAUCGAACGGAACGACGACAUUUUACGUUGUGCUGUGUGGACUGUUAGUGUUUUAAGAGCCUCUGAGGUAUUAAAUUUUAUUCCAUGAUCUCAUAGGUCUUUCUUUGUCUAUUUUUUUUUGUGUAUGUAUGUACAUGCUUAGAUAUACAUCAAUAUACAUAUGUCGCGUCUAAUCGUACAUAUACACA